rnacentral:misc_RNA from 1 species
GACGAAGAACGUAGCGAAAUGUGAUACUUGGUGUGAAUUGCAGAAUCCCGUGAACCAUCGAGUCUUUGAACGCAAGUUGCGCCCGAAGCCAUUUGGUUGAGGGCACGUCUGCCUGGGCGUCACAUAUCGUUGCCCGAUGCCUAUUGCACUGUGAUAGGAAAUUCUAGGGCGAAAGAUGGCUUCCCGUGAGCGUUGUUGCCUCGCGGUUGGUUGAAAAUUGAGUCAUUGGUAGGGUGUGCCAUGAUAGAUGGUGGUCGAGUUUGCACGAGACCGAUCAUGUGUGCGCUCCCCAAAAUAUGGACUCUUUGACCCCACACGCGUCUUUUGACGCUCAUGACGAGACCUCAGGUCAGGCGGGGCUACCCGCUGAGUUUAAGCAUAUCAAUAAGCGGAGGA